UUGUCCAAUAUCGUAUUUACAUUCUACCUACCUUGAUGAGAGAUCUCUUCUUUUUAAACACAGGCACCUCUCGCCCGGUCCCGAGUUUUCUUCAGUUCUGCGAGUGUUAUUAAGACCUCUACGCCUGCCGGUCAUCCGUGUUGCUAGGUGAACCCACUGCCGCGCGAAAGAGUGUAGCCUAGUCAUGUGGUUCGAGCAGGACAGGUGGAGCAUCUGCAUUGCCCCAGAGAGCAGGAAACACAAAUAACACAGGCAGCUGGUCUGGGUGAGGCCUCCAGAACAACAGAGCCAGGCUAAGGGCUGCGUGUCACUGAAGCUGGAAGAGAGUUACACUAAUACCGAAUGCAGCCACCGGAAUCAUUGCCAGAAGAUUAACACCAGCAGAAUAUACAGUAGAUAUUUCUGCUGUGAUGUUUGUAUAGCGCGAGAGGAGGGGAUUGUUUCAGUGAUUGACAUAUGAUUGAUACGGUUACAGUGGGGUAAACAUAAGGUAUGUCCUCCUAUGAUUACAUUUUUACAGGGCAGCUCACAUAGGCAGCAGCCUGACAGAGUGUUCACAGACUUGUCAUCAGGUCUGGUGGAGUUUAUAAUUACUGCGCUAGAGCUUCCAGUACUGGACACUCCACAGAGCUGAGCUUCACCUUGAGUUACAUUCACUGUAAGGAGAGAGAGACAGGUCACAUUUCUGUGAGACACAAUAAGAAAGGAUAUGAAGCUGAAUCUCUGUUACUUCCCCGGUUUCUGUGUUGUUGUGGGUUUGUGUGUAUAUGUAUGUAUUUCAGGAAAUGGCUUCCUGGAUUCUCCCAAGCAGCUGAUUGGUCAGCCCCAUUGCAGAUUGGAGCUGACCCUGACCUCUCGUCAGGGGAUACAGCUGUCUGCAAUUACAGACUCCUUCUCCAGCUGUAUAAAAGCCUGUGUUCCUUUGCUCAGAAAAAGAGCUUCUGGGUAUGCCCCAGUAUUGUUUGUUGCGCAGACAGAGCUUGUUGGUAUGUUCUGUGUUGGUUGUUGCUCAGAGACAGGUUUUGUUAAGUAUUUUGUAGUCGCUGCUUCUGAGGUAUGUGUGUGCCAAUAGGACGCAGUGUUUUUGAUUAUUGGAAUUGUCUACUUACAUUUGUAUUAUUCUGUUUAAUUUGUUCCCAGGGGGAAGGGGAAGGCACCUUGGGAGUGCUUAGGCAAGAGGCAUGUGGGCAUACAUUUACCCAUAGUAUGUACUCUGUCUAUGCACACUAGGUAAGACCUCGGUGGACCAUCCCCCCCUGUAUUUUGGGUAGUGCGCCAGCUGGUGCUAGUUAGGUAAGUUGUGGGUAGGUAAGGUAGGAGAAGGGGCUCUUUAACUUUAACUUUCUUUGCUUUGGUUCCGUCCAGGGCCUUUUUCCCUGAAGGAAUAAAUUGUGAAGGAAUAAAUUCCCUGUUAAUGGUAAAAUUCUGUCUGUCAUCCUUACCCGCACCUACAGUCACAUACCUCUUUCACUCCACGGGGAGUUGAGUGUAGCAGGGUGUUGCGUUCCCCCCUCCAAGAGGCGUGCGUAACAAUCUCUUUAUGGGAAGUUGAUUAUUUGUCUGCUAUUUUAUGGUAAGCCAUAACAUUUAUGAACACUGCACAGGUAGUUAAAAUGUUUAGUUAUCUGUGCUUGUAUCUUGGCCAAAUAUAAGGGAUGACAUCAGAUUUCCCCAUACAGAAGACAACUGGUACAAGAGGGGAAAAUAUCCCAAAGUAGUGAUUGACUACAUCCUGACUUUUUGUUUUGUCUUCUUCUGCCUACAGGUUGCCUGUAGUGGUGAGAUAUGUGAUGGCAGCAGACCACAGUGGCAAUCCUCCCAAACAAAUUAUCACUGAGACUGGGAUCAGGCUCGCCCUGAAAGAAAACAGCUCAGUAAACAGCUGCUCUUUGCAAAACAAAGAAAUUUAGUCUUUAUUAGAUUGAAUUGACAUACUGUAUGUCUGGGCUCACUGAGAGCAAGAUCAUCAUACCAUUAUGGAAAGAAGCUUCCAACUGUAUAGAUCACAUAGCUGCAACAAUAGUCCAUUUGCAGCCCAAGUCGUAUAAGGCUUGGUGUGAGAAACAGAGGACAGGAUAAUGCACGAAUAGGCAAUCCCCUCCGAGUUCAAACUAUUCUGAAAAAUAUAACAUCAUUUGGGAUUUACUAACAGGAUAUAUGUACUAUAAAUGCAAUCCUAUGAAUAAAAAAACAACCUGUUGGUCUCAGUAGUUCCAGAUGUACUACUGACUAACCACCUUCAAAGACUCUGACAUAUGAUAUAAUUGGUUAUGGGAUAUUUACCUGCAUGCUCUAGAGACUUCCAGUUGCUGUGAACAUCAGCAGUAAUCCACAAGAAACAACACAUUGUUCAUAUUUCUUCCCAUUUUCCUCAAAAAGAAGGAUCAGUUAAUGACAGAAACACUAAGAAUCUAUGAAAUCCUCUAUAUCCAGACACAUUUCCAGACACUUGAAGAUCGAUCUUUUGGACUGGAACAGACAAAUACUUACAGCCCAGUGCUAACAUUAAAUAUCUGCUCGGUAAUAAAUAAUGGAUUUAAUGAGUUACCUAAGUACAGUAAGUUCCUUAUUAAACUUCAUUGAUAUUA